rnacentral:rRNA from 1 species
CAGCCGCCGCGGUAAUACCGGCGGCCCGAGUGGCGGUCACUAUUAUUGGGCUUAAAGCGUCCGUAGCCGGGGUGGGAAGUCCUCCGGGAAAUCUGGCCGCUUAAAGGUCAGAAUGCCGGAGGAUACUCCCAGCCUAGGGAGCGGGAGAGGCCGAGGGGAUUCCCGGGGUAGGGGUGAAAUCCUAUAAUCCCGGGAGGGCCACCUGUGGCGAAGGCGCUCGGCUGGAACGCGUCCGACGGUGAGGGACGAAGGCCAGGGGAGCAAACCGGAUUAGAUACCCGGGUAGUCCUGGCUGUAAACGAUGCGGACUUUGUGUCGGACAAGCUAUGAGCUUGUCCGGUGCCGGAGGGAAACCGUUAAGUCCGCCGCCUGGGGAGUACGGCCGCAAGGCUGAAACUUAAAGGAAUUGGCGGG